UAUGAAAUAUGACAGUGUGUAAAUAUGUUUUAUUCAUGCAAUUGACACUUACAAUAGUAACACUUUAUAAGAAGUGGUAAAAGUACACUUCUUUUAAAGUAAAUGUUUAUAUGAUAGAAAAUGUGAAAAACAUCAGUUUUUCAAGACAUUCAUAAUAUUAUUAUGAAAACAGUCGUUUAUCUGAAGUGAAGUAUUUAUUAAAUCUGGAACCACGCUUGCAUGAACAGUUGAAAGUUCAUACAUAGUUUUCGGAAGUUACACUCUCGCGAUAUUUUGAAAAGUUUUGAAAAAGAAUUGUUUGAAAGGUAUAUAUUUUUCUGUGUUACUUGCGUAUUUGUUGAAUAACAAAAGUAAUGUACAUUUCAUGUUGCCAUGAUUUUACUUACACCAGUUUAUUUAAUUUCAGUAUGUGUGGAAGCUAAAUAUGAGAUAUGUUGCAGGAAAAUAUUGUCCAGGCCAGCUGAAUAAGCAGCACUGGAUUUUCCCUGGAAAAGAAUGAAGACUGUCUGCGAAGAAAGUGACUAUUCGCUUGUAGUGUUUAAAGCGAAGAAAGAAAUAAAAUGUUAUUAAUUGAAAUUUAUACUCUCUGUGGGGGUUGGGAACUCUGUCCAGUCUAUUCCAGUUCCUCCCCAUUCAUUCCUAUCCCAAUUCAUCCUGACCUGGUCCAUCCCAUUUCUUAUUGGUAACCUAUGUAUGAUAGAACAAAUGAUAUUUAUUGAGCAUAUUAGAAUUAAAAUAGUGUUAAGUAUGGCCACAGAAAAGGAAGAGAAAAUAUGUGUAUAAAUAGAUUUAUUAUAAAAUAUGACAGUGUGUAAAUAUGUUUUAUUCAUGCAAUUGACCCUUACAAUAAUUUAUUAUAGUAACACUUUACAAGAAGUGGUAAAAAAGAAAAUGUGGAGAAUAUGAGUUUUUCGAGAUGUUCAUAAUAUUGUAAUAUGAAAACAGUCUAUAAUCUUUAGUGGAAUAAUUAUUAAAUCUGGAACCACACUUGCAUGAACAUUUGAAAGUGCAUACACAGUUUUCGGAAGUUUCACUCUCACGAUAUUUUUUUAAAGUUUGGAAAAAGAAUUGAAAGGUAUAUAUUUUUCUGUGUUACUUGCUUAUUUGCUGAAUUACAAAAUAAUGUACAUUUCAUGUUGCCAUGCUUUUACUUACACCAGUUUAUUUAAUUUCAGUAUGAGAUAUGUUGCAGGAAAAUGCUGUCAAGGCAAGCCGAAGAAGCAGCACGGGACUUUCCCUGGAAAAGAAUGAAGACUGUCUGCGAAGAAAGUGACUGUAUUCAUUUGUAGUGUUUAAAGUGAAGAAAGAAAUAAAAUGUUAUUAAUUGAAAUUUAUACUGUCUGUGGGGGUUGGGAACUUUGUCCAGUCUAUUCCAGUUCCUCCCCAUUCAUUCCUAUCCCAAUUCAUCCUGACCUGGUCCAUCCCAUUUCUUAUUGGUAACCCAUGUAUGAUAGAACAAAUAAUAUAUAUGGAGCAUAUUAGAAUUAAAAUAGUGUUGAGUAUGGCCACAACAAAGGAAGAGAAAACAUGUGUAUAAAUAGAUUCAUUAUAAAAUAUGACAGUGUGUAAAUAUGUUUAUUUCAUGCAAUUGACCCUUACAAUAAUUUAUUAUAGCAACACUUUACAAGAAGUGGUAAAAAAGAAAAUGUGGAGAAUAUGAGCUUUUCAAGAUGUUCAUAAUAUUGUAAUAUGAAAACAGUCUUAUCUGUAGUGUAAUAAUCAUUAAAUCUGGAACCACACUUGCAUGAACAUUUGAAAGUGCAUACACAGUUUUCGGAAGUUUCACUCUCGCAAUAUUUUGAAAAGUUUUGAAAAAGAAUUGUUUGAAAGGUAUGUAUUUUUCUGUGUUACUUAUUUGCUGAAUUACAAAAGUAAUGUACAUUUCAUGUUGCCAUGCUUUUACUUACACCAGUUUAUUUAAUUUCAGUAUGAGAUAUGUUGCAGGAAAAUGCUGUCAAGACAAGUCGACAAAGCAGCACUGGAUUUUCCCUGGAAAAGAAUGAAGACUGUUUGCGAAGAAAGUGACUGUAUUCAUUUGUAGUGUUUAAAGUGAAGAAAGAACAUAAAAUAUUAAUAAUUGAAAUACAUACUGUGUGGGGAUGGGAACAUUGUCCAGUCUAUUCCAGUUCCUAACCAUUCAUUCCUAUCCCAAUUCAUCCUGACCCGGUCCAUCCCAUUUCUUAUUGGUAACCCAUGUAUGAUAGAACAAAUAAUAUAUAUGGAGCAUAUUAGAAUUGAAAUAUUAAUGUUAAGCAUGGUCACAAAAAGGAAGAGAAAAUAUGUGUAUAAAUAGAUUUAUUUUGAAAUAUGAGGGUGUGUAAAUAUGUUUUAUUCAUGCAAUUGACACUAACAAUAGUUGCACUUUAUAAGAAGUGGUAAAAGUACACUUCUUUUAAAGUAAAUGUUUAUAUGAUAGAAAAUGUGAAAAACGAGUUUUUCAAGACAUUCAUAAUAUUAUUAUGAAAACAGUCUUUUAUCUGAAGUGAAGUACUUAUUAAAUCUGGAACCACGCCUGCAUGAACAGUUGAAAGUUCAUACAUAGUUUUCGGAAGUUACACUCUCGCGAUAUUUUGAAAAGUUUUGAAAAAGAAUUGUUUGAAAGGUAUAUAUUUUUCUGUGUUACUUGCAUAUUUGCUGAAUAACAAAAGUAAUGUACAUUUCAUGUUGCCAUGCUUUUACUUACACCAGUUUAUUUAAUUUCAGUAUGUGUGGAAGCUAAAUAUGAGAUAUGUUGCAGGAAAAUAUUGUCGAGGCGAGCCGAAGAAGCAGCACUGAAUUUUCUCUGGAAAAGAAUGAAGACUGUCUGCGAAGAAAGUGACUGUAUUCGCUUGUAGUGUUUAAAGUGAAGAAAGAAAUAAAAUGUUAUUAAUUGAAAUUUAUACUCUCUGUAGGGGUUGGGAACUCUGUCCAGUCUAUUCCAGUUCCUCCCCAUUCAUUCCUAUCCUAAUCCAUCCUGACCCAGACCAUCUCAUUUCUUAUUGGUAACCCAUGUAUGAUAGUACAAAUAAUAUAUAUGGAGCAUAUUGGAAUUAAAAUAGUGUUGAGCAUCGCCACAAAAAAGGAUGAAAAAAUGUGUGUAAGUAGAUCUAUUAUGAAAUAUGACCUGUGUGUAAAUAUGUUUUAUUCAUGCAAUUGACACAAUAGUAACACUUUACAAGAAGUGAUUAGGUUAGUAGUAGGAAUCUGUAGUAGGUUACAAGAUUGAUUCCAAACCAAAUGAUAGGCACUGGUUUGUAUUGCUGUUUAUAAUGAUAGUGUUGUGUAUAAAAGGUUUCAUUGAUAUGUUGACCUGUUCACCACAGGUAAAUGUCAACUUCUCCACUCAAAUUAGAGGUGGAGGAUGAUUGAUCUAGACUUUAGCUUAAGAGGAUUUAACUAAUGUAUUCCAUGUAACUUUUACCACAUUUUUAGAUGCCUAAUUUCCAAAACAUCAACACUGUUACUAGGAGAAACACUCAGUGGAUGAAGAAUCAGACUGCUUAAUCGACAGAUGAUAAAAAUUGUCACAUGCUGCAAGAAAAAUGCACUGGAAAGAUAAAAUCCCACAGACCACCAGCACCAACAUCGGACAGAUGGUAUUUCAACAUAUAGUAGAUUCACGGUGGUACAUCCUAGAGCGGAUAUAGCUGGUCAACAUAUACAAGAAUGUUGAGAUAUCAGUGGUUGGUUUCCUGCAAGAGCUAGAGAGGUCAGAGAAAGGGGUCGGCUCAAAAAGAACAUGAAGGGGUCUGAUGAUAAUAAUUAUGGAUGUAGGUUAUGAAGCCAAUGUUGAGCCCAGGAGGUCCUCGUCAAGUUACAGCAGAUUCAUUCAAGAAAGAAAUGGAAUCCAAAGUUAAUUCACAUGAACAAUUCUAUGGGGAGGCUGUAGGUUUGAUGUCACAACUUCAGAAGUUUACCUCCUUGUGAGACACCAGUACUGUUCUUAUACCACUGGAAUCUUCAAAAGCACAUAAUGGUAUGGUCCACAUUAUGGAAGUUCAUGACAAAUCUUCAUCAUUAGAAAAAUAGCAGUUGAAGCUGCAAGGAGAGACUGAUGGAAAAUGACAGUGACUGGACAGAAAAUGAUGAUGGUGAAGAACUAUAGAAAACUUGGGAAAACUUAUAGCUACCAUCAAAAGAGCAGUCAUUGGUUCCAAUAUUCCAGCCAAUGUAUCCCUCUUGACUGGUGUUACCAGUUUUAUAUAUCAGCAGUUUGUCCCGGCAGUUUGUUCCAGUUGUGUCCUGCAGUUUGUUCCAGCAAUUUGGUCCAGUUUUAUUCAACAGUUUGUUGCAGUUCCAUAUGUUAUUCUUCCCAAGUCUUUAUAGAAGUUAACUUUAAAGCAGGACUUUCACUGUCAGAUAUGCAAAAAAAACAACAUGAAAUGGAGACAACCACCAACCAGGGCACACAGUUAGCUUUAGAAGAAAUUUCUUAUCAGGAUGUAGAUAUGGAUGCACUGCCUCGUAGCAACUUCAGACCUACAGGAACUAUAAGUGGAGGAAACAAUUAUCACUAUUGACCUUGAAACCAUUGACCUAAUUCAAUAUGGGAAGAUGCCACAUAUCACACAAAGCCGCAUCCCACACAAAUCCCUGUAGCAUAGAUAUCUAUGUCACGCCUAAAAAGGAAAUUUCACCAGAGGCAUAAAGGAUUACCAGGAUUGCAUGGAAGAUUCAGCACAGUAGUCCACACAGGACCAACACAUCGAAAACUGGUACUCAGUCAGGCCUUAGAGAAAUUGUGUACUUUGCUUAAAAAUAUCCUAAAGUGAUUUUGGUUGCUCAUAAUGAGAGACAAUUUGAUUUUCAAGUUCUUGUCUCAGCUGUACAGGAUGUUUUUCAGCUGUGUUUCGUCUAAAGUGUAUUCUUUUACCAGUGUUAAGGAAACUGUUCAGUUAACAGUCACAUUAAAUAUAAGAUCUUGCUAUGACACUGUUUGGUAUCCAGUACAAUGCCUAUAGCUGACAGACAGACAAAUUUAUUAUGAAAAACUGGAAAGGCCUGCCAAGGUUUACAUUAUAUUAAGAGGAAUUUCAAGCAAUGACUUAAAUUAUACUCGUGAUAAAUUUGGUAGCCAAAAUAUUCAUUAUCUUAAGUAGAAAAUGACAAUUGUAAUUGGAAAUUCAAAUUGUAUUAUUUAACUCAAACUUAGGAAAGUUAAUAUGUUCAAAAUUGUUAAUAAUGUAUCAUUUGUUAAAAUGCUAUAUUAUAGCUUUAAGCCAUAAUGUCCUCUUUUUACACUCUGCCUAAAGAAACACUUCAUUUGUUCUUGUUUGCUAUGUAGCCAUUUCCUUGAUUAAAAAUACACUUGUGAAUCUUGGACUUCUUGAACAAAUUAAUACUUUGUGACUGUUUAUCUUUUUAACUAUUUUAUUCUUGCUACAUGUACAUUUAAUAAAUAAUUGCAAAACUUUUACAUCUUACUUGGACAUAACUUUAGAAGGCCCUACCGCUUCGUUAACAAUAAGCAGUUCCCUGUAACUAAAAAAAGCUCUGAAGUUCGCUUCUUAAUAACUACAUGAAGUGGGUACAGUAUAGGACUGAUGACAGUUUUAAUUCACAAAUUUCAGAACAAUGCAUUAUGGUGGAUGUUUUUUUUGUAUUUAUUUACAUUUUUCUAUUAGAUGAUAGUUAAUUUAAAUUCAUAAUUGAACACUUUCGAAAGUGAAACUUUUUACUAUAAAGCAAUUCACAACUGAUAUUUUCUUUUAAGUAAAAUAAAACAAUAAAAGAAUAAGCAAUCCUUUAAAUAUGAAGUUAAGUAGUAUCUUUUAAGCUCAGCAAAAGUAUGAGAGAACAGAGAUGUCCCUUAUUUUCAACAUCUUGUACAGAAAUUUUGAUUUUAUCUGUGUAGAUUUUUGACAUACUGUACAAUUUAUUCAGGUGUAUGCAAGACAAUAUUUAUAAGGAAGUCUUGUGUUUUAAGCUACCUAAUAAGUCCUAAUUAUUAAUAUUAGAGAAAACUGUUGAUUUUUCAAAGUGCUUCCUGAUACUUACGUAUUAGCUUAAGUACAAACAUAUAAGGGUUUACUGCAUAUUUAUUAAUUUUAGUUCUUAAUAUCUGUGCAAGUUUUUAUUUCUAUUUCUGUUAUAAUAGGAUUUUAUGCCUGAAUGAAAUUGAAUUGAAUUGUGAUGCAAAUAGUAAAUAUUGUCUUUUUGUUGUGUCUAAGAUGAUUCCUCUAAAUAAACUUUAAACAUUA
rnacentral:lncRNA from 1 species